AGGGCGGUGAUGAUUCCAACAUGCCAUCUGAGUGCCCAUGCUGAAACCCAGAGGCUGUUUCUGAGCUG
rnacentral:snoRNA from 9 species